GGCACGUAGCGGAUCAGAAAGUUUAGGGUUAUCCCAGGGCUCACCCUGAACUGCCUCUAAAACUCUUGUUCUAAAGUUCAAAAAAGGUAGUGAAUUCCGAGUGUAAAGGUGAAUUUCGGUAGAAUUUCGGAAGGAACACCAGUGGCGAAGCGGGCUCACUGGCUUCGAAUACUGACCGCUUAAGGUGCGAAAAAGUGUGGGAACCAACCAGGAUUAGAUACCUUGGUAGUCCACACCGUAACCAAUAAAUGCCAGACGUCGGGGUAGCAUGCUAUUCGGUGUCACACUUACCAGAUUAAGCAUUCCGCUUGGGAAGUACGGUUCGCAAGAUUAAAACUCAAAGAAUUGACGGGGGGCCCGCACAAGCGGUGGAGCAUGUGGUUUAAUUCGAAGCAACGCGCAGAACCUUACCAACCCUUGACAUCCUUGGACCGCUGGAGAGAUUCAGUUUCCUCGCAAGAGGCCAAGUGACAGGUGCUGCAUGGCUGUCGUCAGCUCGUGUCGUGAGAUGUUCGGUUAAGUCCGGCAACGAGCGCAACCCACAUCUUUAGUUGCCAGCAGUUCGGCUGGGCACUCUAAGGAAACUGCCCGUGAUAAGCGGGAGGAAGGUGUGGAUGACGUCAAGUCCUCAUGGCCCUUACGGGUUGGGCUACACACGUGCUACAAUGGCAUCUACAGUGAGUUAAUCUCCAAAAGAUGUCUCAGUUCGGAUUGGGGUCUGCAACUCGACCCCAUGAAGGCGGAAUCGCUAGUAAUCGCGGAUCAGCAUGCCGCGGUGAAUACGUUCCCAGGCCUUGUACACACCGCCCGUCACACCAUGGGAGUUGGACUCACCCGAAGGUAGUGCGCUAACCGCAAGGAGGCAGCUAACCACGGUGGGUUCAGCGACUGGGGUGAAGUCGUAACAAGGUAGCC
rnacentral:rRNA from 1 species